UCUCUCUCUCUCUCUCUCUCUCUCUCUCUCUCUCUCUCUCUCUCUCUCUCUCUCUCUCUCUCUCUCUCUCUCUCUCUCUCUCUCUCCAAUCGGACUAAAACCGAAGGCGCACCACACUGCUCUGUGGCUGCUUCUCUCCUUUCUUCUCUCUAUCUCUCUCUGUAGCUCCGGUGACCAAAUCCCUUCUAACCACCGCUACUGCCUUUUGCCCUCUUUACAAAAUUUUCACUAUGAAACUCACUAUCAAGCAAAUGAUAAUGUUAUAUUAUAAGUAUUUGGUGUGAGGAAGAAUAGAAGACAAGUGCUGAGUAAGUAAUUGAUUUUGGAAAUUUAUUUACAUUAAUCGAUUCAUUAUACUCUAUUUUCAAACCAACACCUUUUAACUUAAUUUAAUACCCACCAUUGUUGAUUACAUGCAUUUUUGUUUCUAAUUUAUUAGGGUUAAAUACCAGGUUGAAAAGGAAGAAGAGGAAGAGCUUAAGCAUACACAAAUUAAGUGUAUCAAAUUCCAACGUCUAACACCAGUGACAACUCCAAUGUCUAACAAUGGUGACUUUCCAAUAAUGAAGAUAAUUCCGACGAAUUUUUUGAUGAUAAUCUGACAACGAUAGCAACUUCAACGAAUAUUCUCAUUCUAUUUUCUACUUUUUUUUGCGACUAAUAUUUUAUUUUAGUGGAUAAUGACUUUUUUGGAUAAUGUACUGGGUUGAUGAUUAAGUCUUGGAGCUUUUGAGAAGUUUUUAACUAAUUUUAUGUUGGUAUUGUAUUUGAUUUGUUCAAUAUUCCAUACAGUAUCUAGAAUACAAGCAUGUAAAAUUUAUGUAUAAUUUUUGACAUCCAUAACAUAACUGGUUUUUUUCA